rnacentral:rRNA from 1 species
CCGGCAAACGGGUGCGGAACACGUACGCAACCUUCCUUUAAGUGGGGGAUAGCCCAGGGAAACUUGGAUUAAUACCCCGUAAUAUUAUGAGAUGGCAUCAUCUUGUAAUUAAAGCUCCGGCGCUUAAAGAUGGGCGUGCGCCUGAUUAGGUAGUUGGCGGGGUAACGGCCCACCAAGCCUUCGAUCAGUAACUGGUGUGAGAGCACGACCAGUCACACGGGCACUGAGACACGGGCCCG